ensembl:lncRNA
GGCGAGGCCAGCCGCCGUUGCCAAGCAAGCUCACAAGAAAGCAAGGAAACAGAGAGGCUGGCCGAUUUGUCGUUAUUCGAUGAAUUCUGGCACCGUGGAAAAGCACAGUGUCUGCCUCUGUUAAUACCACAGUGGCACACGGCAGCGAACCAAAGCCAUCAGUCAAAUGCACAGGAAUCAGAGGGGCCGAAGAAUGGACAAGGUCAAUGUGUGAAGACCAGAAGAGUCCCGGAGAGGGAUAGUGGUUAUUCUGCAGGAAUGGGGCUCAAGGGCAUUGAGAGUCACAUUCAGAAAAGUCCCGGGCUGAAUCAAGUCUGCCUCCCACUUGCAGAAAACCUCCCAGAGGAUGAUCAAGACAUCUGACAAGUUGGCAGAGAACUGAGAGCCUCCAGGCAGUCAGGCCCUGGGUGCAGGGCUGGGUAACUGGGUGAGGGAGGCUGGCACACAUAUUCAGCAGGGCUGAGAGGAAGAGAUUUGUCCUCCACAGCCUCUCACCACCAUCUGAACCCCGUGUGGUCAAAGCAGUCCACUCGCUCUAUUUCCAGUCCCGUAAACACAGAACUCAGCAUCUACCUCCCAACUUCCGGAGGCCAAUUCGGGCAUGCAGUGCCUCCUUUCCUUUUUGCAAGGUUUGAGAGUGACCUCAGGCUCUCACAUACACAGAGCAAAAACUGGGCCUCAGCACACAGUCAGUUCUAGUCUCUCCCGAUGAAAACCAGCCGAUUUCAAAACAAUACACAGCCACAUUUUUGUUUUUGUGUUGGGAUCUUGGUGGGGGGGGAUUUUUUUAGAUUUGGGGUUUUUUGUUUGGUUGGUUUUUGUUUUUGUGUCUUUUUUGUUUUUUUUUUUUAAGACAGGGUCUCACUGUGUACCCCUGGCUGUUCUGACACUCUCUCUCUGUAGACCAGGCUAUCCUCAGACUCAGAGAUGAGCCUCUGCCUCCUGAGUGCUGGGAUUAAAGCAUGCACCACACACCAGGCAAACAAACUUCCUUUUGUGCACCUAUCUUUUUUGUUCUACUUGUGGCCCCUCCUCCUGAAAUCUGUUGUUCUGUUUUUGCUUGUUUGUUGACAGGGUCUCUUGUAGCCGGCUCUUGGUCAAUAAUGACCUUGAACUACUGAUCCUCCUGCUCAUUUAAACACGUUCUCUCUGUAAGAUACAUUCCAGGCUCCCUACUCCAAGGAACUCUAGGCAGAGCCUCAGAUAUUCAGCAGGCCACCUGAAGCAGUCAAAACGCUGAAAAGAAAGUCCCCAGUGUGAGAGCAUGACUGUCGCCAGACCAGGGGGACACUGUUUAUAGCCAGAGAGCCAAACAAGAGGGCUUGCUGUUUACAUUCAGACAGAAGUGGAUGAAUUGAGGAGCCCACAUUUCUAUUCAUCUUUAUGUGUGUGUCCACAAAUAACUCACAAAUGACGGUUUGUGCGUUAUAAUUAAACUUCAGCAAAUAGGCAACAUGAAAAAUGCAGAAUCCAUGAAUACUAAAAGAGUCAUAGGGCUGGAGAGAUGGCUCAGUGGUUAAGAGCACUGACUGCUCUUCCAGAGGUCCUGAGUUCAGUUUCCAGCAACCACAUGGUGACUCACAACCAUUUGUAGUAGGAUCUGAUGCCCUCUUCUGGUGUGUCUGAAGACAGCGACGUUGUACUCAAAUACAUAAAAUAAAUAAAUAAAUAAAUAAAUAAAUAAAUAAAUCGUUUUUUUUUUUUAAAGAA